rnacentral:rRNA from 1 species
GGCAUGCCUAACACAUGCAAGUCGAACGAGACCUUCGGGUCUAGUGGCGCACGGGUGCGUAACGCGUGGGAACCUGCCCUCAGGUUCGGAAUAACGUCGGGAAACUGACGCUAAUACCGGAUAAUGUCUUCGGACCAAAGAUUUAUUGCCUGGGGAUGGGCCCGCGUUGGAUUAGCUAGUUGGUGGGGUAAAGGCUCACCAAGGCGACGAUCCAUAGCUGGUCUUAGAGGAUGAUCAGCCACACUGGGACUGAGACACGGCCCAGACUCCUACGGGAGGCAGCAGUGGGGAAUAUUGGACAAUGGGCGAAAGCCUGAUCCAGCAAUGCCGCGUGAGUGAUGAAGGCCUUAGGGUUGUAAAGCUCUUUUACCAGGGAUGAUAAUGACAGUAC